AUUGAACGCUGGCGGCAGGCCUAACACAUGCAAGUCGAACGAGCGGCGGACGGGUGAGUAAUGUCUGGGGAUCUGCCUGAUAGAGGGGGAUAACUACUGGAAACGGUAGCUAAUACCGCAUACUAUCAGAUGAACCCAUAUGGGAUUAGCUAGUAGGUGGGGUAAAGGCUCACCUAGGCGACGAUCGCUAGCUGGUCUGAGAGGAUGAUCAGCCACACUGGGACUGAGACACGGUCCAGACUCCUACGGGAGGCAGCAGUGGGGAAGAUUGCACAAUGGGCGCAAGCCUGAUGCAGCCAUGCCGCGUGUAUGAAGAAGGCCUUAGGGUUGUAAAGUACUUUCAGCGGGGAGGCGUUACCCGCAGAAGAAGCACCGGCUAACUCCGUGCCAGCCGCCGCGGUAAUAC
rnacentral:rRNA from 1 species